rnacentral:lncRNA from 1 species
GGGAGACGGAAGCAGAUGCUGGGUUGUCGAGGCUGCUUCAAGAUGUCAGGUUACGAAGGAUGACAUCAUAAAUUUCCAUGAAAUUUUGGAAACUCCUAGCCGGCUAAACUGUUACAGAGGUCAGAUAUCCGUCUCGCUCGCUUUCUUCAAUCCAAUGAUUGAGAUUUAACCUUCGUAAUGAUCAUGUAAACACACACAGG